rnacentral:lncRNA from 1 species
AAAACUCAAUGGCAAGUACUUAACAUGCAUUGAUAUGUGGUUAUUAGAAAAUGAAAUGUGAGACAAAUCUACUUAACAUGCACUGUCACUACCACUACGAUCUACGGCAAAACACCCAACAAAAUGAAAACUACAACUAUUUAAAUGCUGGAUUUAACCUACUUUUAACUUGGUCUCCAUAAGAAAACAAUUUCUAGCUUUUCUAUUUGUAAGAACUGCUUUAGUACUCGAACUAUCACUUGGUUCUCUAGCCCGCAACAGUUCCAAUAAAAGGUUUUCAUGGCUCCUGGCGGGAUUGUGUAACAGCCUCCGCAAAUGUAAAGUGUGUUUGGGACAUUGUCGCCGAUUCAGUUUCCCUGAGCUUCUUGAACUUUCCUUUCUUAUUAUCGUUCUCAUCAUUAUGGUUCUUCAUUUCUCCAUGCAACACAUUAUGGGAUUCAGAGAAGUCAUUAAUAGUGUUACAGUGUUUAAUUUUAACGAGUUGCAAGGGUCUUUUUCUGUUUAGUUGUAGAGUGGUGGCGAUUUCAGUUGUAGGAGGUGAAUUGGUUUAAGUUGAAGAGAGAGAUGGUAAGUUUGGCUUGGUUAAUGGGGUGUCAUGAGAUGUCAUGUUAGCUGGGAUAUUAAAUUAUGUCUAAAUCUUAUGGAUUAAAUUGAUUGGGUUAAACGUUUCAGUUUUUACAACUAUUGGAGGAGUAGGUUGUUUUAGGGUACGACGUGUAACAUCACUUUUUUUUCUGAAGAAGUGGUCCCUUUAGAAAUAUUCAUUGUUGCUUUGGGAUCAACCACUACAAAGAAAAGGGAUCUUUUGCGACGGGCGCUUAAAAUGCUCGCAAUAAGAGUAUUAAUUGCGACCGAUUUUUUAAAUGGUCCUUGUACACUGGAAAUGUGAUAAAAUUUGCGACCAUGUAAAUUUUUCUUCAUAAAAUGCAAUACACUUUGGCCGCUACAAUCUCUAAAUUGGCGCUAGCGGGAGCAAUUCCUUCCAAUUAAAAUAAAAAAAAAAUUAAUAAGAAAAAAGAAAAAGCACAAAAAAAGAAAAAAAAAAUAAAUCUCUCAUUCACUCUAUUGAUCUUCCUAAAUCGCAAAUCUCACUCACUCUCCUUGUUUGAUUUAACAGUAAGGCAUUUAAUUAUUAACUCUUUAGAAUAUUUGACAUUGGAUUUUACAUGAUCUUGAAAUAAAUACACUAGUAGAAAAAUUUUAGAUAAACUUGAUAUAAAUAUUAUAAUUAAUAGGAAAGCAAUAUAUAUGAAUAUUUAUAUUUUAAAUUUAAAUUAUUAAUAUAUAUUUUAUUAUUUAAAAUUAAUAUAUGUUUUGAUUAUUUAUUUCUUUAUUAUAUAGCCGGAUAGUGUAUGUAAAAAUUAUUGAAAAAUAAAUAAGAAAAAAUUGCAAGUAACAUCACAAUGGCUGACUAUCUAGCACGAUCAUCCUCGGUUAUUGCCCUUGGGGAUUUGACAUCUUCUGCGCUGCCAUUCCUUGCCUGCCUUCCAGUCCUGCUUUACGGUGGCGUUCCUGGGCGAUGAACCUAACAUCUCCAUAUCCACCGGCUUCACCCUUCUCAAGUUUCCAAUAAGGGCAUGCAAAGGACAAAAAUAAGUUGCAGGAAAGCUGUAGUUAUUCCCAUUUCCUAGUGACUCUUCUUCCACUCCUUCAGCUAAUAAAUGCGGCGGAGGCAGCUCCAGGCCCUCAUGCUCCCAUCUUUCGCUGUCCCUGCUGCAUACAUCAUGGUAAUCCACACCCGCCAUUGCUAAUGCGUCUAUUGAUGCUGACAUGAUUUUUGGCGCAGGUAACAAAAUGUAUCAAGUUUUGUGAACCGCGAUAUAAAAGAUUAACAAAAUAUAGCUCUUUUCCUUGGAAUUCUUAGUUUUCACAGAACUGUAGGAUUCUUGAGGAUAGUCUGUGGCAAUCUCUGCUAUAAAUGCAUACAUAUAUAUAGAAGGAGAGAAAUCCCAAAAAACUAACACGCUGCCAAAAUCACAUGUUAAGAUGAAAUUUCAAAUAAGAGGCCUGUGAUGGGUUUGAAGAGGGAAACUAGAAAAGGGAAAAAAAAAAAAGGAAUGGUAAACGUUUUGAAUAAGUGUGAAAGGUUUUGUUCAUCGAAUUAAUGACAAAUUGUCUGAUUCCGUAGUAAGAACAUGCAGGGUUUAUA